CCGGAGGACUAAGAAAGUGGAGACGGUGCCUCCGUGCCGACCCCGCUGAUACUAUCCUCCAAAAAUGAAACGGUGGAAGAACAAGGCCUGCCCGCGAGGUAAGGGCAGGGCCUGCUUCCUCCACCUACAAGG
rnacentral:snoRNA from 12 species